GUACAAAGUUCUAUAUUCAUGCAGGUGUGCAAACAUACAUAUACAUGUAGGUACAUGGGUAUAUUUGUAGUGAUUUCAAAUUACUUCUGUGUUUUAAGUUUUUCAAAUGUUUUUUUUUUCUUUUCAAAAAUAAGAAAUGAAAAAAAUAUCUGUGUCCUCAAUGAAGACACCCCCAUUAAGCUAGUUUGAUAGAGUUGAAAUAUUUAUCAGUAUACUCCCCACCAAUUAUUAUAGGAAAAGUAUGAUAACAAAUCUAAACAUGCAUGUUUGAACAUGUUUGCAGUUAAGGAAGCUACAGACUAUAUAACCUGAUGUCACUUGAAUUUGAUUUAAUUUUUUUCAUCUUCAUGUUUGAAAUAAGUAAUAAAUGGUGAAAUGAUACAGCAAUCAAAUGUGAUGGAGGAAGUUGAUCAAGUACUACAUAUACAUGGGUAGGUCUUUUAACAAAACAAACUGUUAAAGCCUGUUUGAGUUUAUGUGCAUGUACCAGUGUACAUGUAGUUCAUAAUCGUCUGUUACAGUGGGCUCAGACAUCUGUUGCUGUGGGCUUGGAUAUAUAGGGGCUAAAUGGAAUCAGGAGUCAGGGCAAAUCAGAUGAAUAAGUCCAUGUGAAGUGCAUCUCAUGAUCAGUGAUAUCUUCUGAUAUCUCCAAUAUCUAGAAGCUUAUUGCAUGGCGAUCCGCUUCAUUUGUUAUAAGUCCCUUCUAAGGAAUACCCGUACCACUAAUUGUACAUAGAUAUAUAUUCAACAUUGAUAUUAUGGAUUUUUCGAUGAUUUUUGUUGUUGUUAUUAUUGAUGAAAGAAUGUUAUUUAAACAAUAAAACCAAUGAUUC
rnacentral:sRNA from 1 species